rnacentral:rRNA from 1 species
UACGGAGGGUGCAAGCGUUAUCCGGAUUCACUGGGUUUAAAGGGUGCGUAGGCGGGUAUAUAAGUCAGUGGUGAAAGCUCCGGGCUUAACUUGGAAACUGCCAUUGAUACUGUAUAUCUUGAAUAUCGUAGAGGUUAGCGGAAUGUUGCAUGUAGCGGUGAAAUGCUUAGAUAUGUUACAGAACACCAAUUGCGAAGGCAGCUAACUAUGCGAUGAUUGACGCUGAGGCGCGAAAGCGUGGGGAGCGAACAGG